rnacentral:rRNA from 1 species
GACGAACGCUGGCGGCGUGCUUAACACAUGCAAGUCGAACGGAAAGGCCCUGCUUUUGUGGGGUGCUCGAGUGGCGAACGGGUGAGUAACACGUGAGUAACCUGCCCUUGACUUUGGGAUAACUUCAGGAAACUGGGGCUAAUACCGGAUAGGAGCUCCUGCUGCAUGGUGGGGGUUGGAAAGUUUCGGCGGUUGGGGAUGGACUCGCGGCUUAUCAGCUUGUUGGUGGGGUAGUGGCUUACCAAGGCUUUGACGGGUAGCCGGCCUGAGAGGGUGACCGGACACAUCGGGCUGGAGAUACGGCCCAGACCCCAACGGGAGGCAGCAGUGGGGAAUAGUGUACAAUGGGAGGAAGGCUGAUGCAGCAACGCCGCGCGGGGGAUGACGGGCUUCGGGUUGUAAACCGCUUUCGCCUGUGACGAAGCGUGAGUGACGGUAAUGGGUAAAGAAGCACCGGCUAACUACGUG